GACGAACGCUGGCGGCAUGCCUUACACAUGCAAGUCGAACGGCAGCACGGGUGCUUGCACCUGGUGGCGAGUGGCGAACGGGUGAGUAAUAUAUCGGAACGUACCUUAUUGUGGGGGAUAACGCAGCGAAAGCUGUGCUAAUACCGCAUAAUCCCUAAGGGGGAAAGCGGGGGACCGUAAGGCCUCGCGCAAUUAGAGCGGCCGAUACCUGAUUAGCUAGUUGGUGAGGUAAAGGCUCACCAAGGCAACGACCAGUAGCUGGUCUGAGAGGACGAUCAGCCGCACUGGGACUGAGGCACGGCCCAGACUCCUACGGGAGGCAGCAGUGGGGAAUUUUGGACAAUGGGGGCAACCCUGAUCCAGCAAUGCUGCGUGAGUGAAGAAGGCCUUCGGGUUGUAAAGCUCUUUUGUCAGGGAAGAAACAGCAGCUCUAACACAGUUUGCGAAUGACGGUACCUGAAGAAUAAGCACCGGCUAACUACGUGCCAGCCGCCGCCGUAA
rnacentral:rRNA from 1 species